GGAGUUAGCCGGUGCUUCUUCUGUGAGUGAUGUCCUUCCUGCCGGUUAUUGACCCGCAGGCCUUCUUCCUCACUGAAAGUGCUUUACAACCCGAAGGCCUUCUUCACACACGCGGCAUGGCUGGAUCAGGGUUGCCCCCAUUGUCCAAUAUUCCCCACUGCUGCCUCCCGUAGGAGUCUGGGCCGUGUCUCAGUCCCAGUGUGGCUGAUCAUCCUCUCAGACCAGCUACGGAUCGUCGCCUUGGUGAGCCGUUACCUCACCAACCAGCUAAUCCGACAUAGGCUCAUCCGAUAGCGCGAGGCCCGAAGGUCCCCCGCUUUCCCCCGUAGGGCGUAUGCGGUAUUAGCCUGGGUUUCCCCAGGGUUAUCCCCCACUACCGGGGCAGAUUCCUAUGCAUUACUCACCCGUCCGCCGCUCGCCACCAGGGAGCAAGCUCCCCGUGCUGCCGCUCGACUUGCAUGUGUAGGCCUCGCCGCCACGCGUCAAUCUGAGCCGAGGAUACAACUACUCGA
rnacentral:rRNA from 1 species